rnacentral:rRNA from 1 species
GUUAGGAAUAUUGGACAAUGGGCGCAAGCCUGAUCCAGCCAUGUCGCGUGAGUGAUGAAGGCCUUCGGGUUGUAAAGCUCUUUAGUCCACGAAUAUAAUGACUGUAGUGGAAGAAUAAGCCCCGGCUAACUUCGUGCCAGCAGCCGCGGUAAUACGAAGGGGGCGAGCGUUAUUCGGAAUCACUGGGCGUAAAGCGUGCGUAGGCUGUUUUGUAAGUCAGAAGUGAAAGCCCAGGGCUUAACCCUGGAAUUGCUUUUGAAACUACAAGACUCGAAUUCGGGAGAGGAUAGCGGAAUUGUCAGUGUAGCAGUGAAAUGCGUAGAUAUUGACAGGAACACCAGUGGCGCAAGCGGCUAUCUGGACCGAUAUUGACGCUGAGGCACGAAAGCGUGGGGAGCAAACAGGAUUAGAAACCCGGGUAGUCC